rnacentral:rRNA from 16 species
CCUGGUGAACUGAAACGUCUUAGUAGCUAGAGGAAAAGAAAUCAAAAGCGAUUCCCGUAGUAGCGGCGAGCUAAAUGGGA